rnacentral:lncRNA from 1 species
CCCAAGUCCUUGGCUAGGGUUUCGGCCAUGGUGUUGCCUCCAUCGCCGGUGCGUCUCCGACGACUCCGCUGUGUUCUAGACCGCGCGCCAUCGUGCUCUCCCCGCCUCCUGGAUGGCAACCCCUAGCUGGGUUUGCUCACGCGCGUCAGGCUGCACGGCUGCGACCCCGACCUCCUGUGCCGCGGUGCAUCCUAUGGCAACCUCCUCUGCAGCAUUUGGACCACUGCAGGCCCUCCCUUGCCCAGGUGAGCACCUCAAACCCCAUCUUCCUCUCCUCCUACCAUCUUCUUUUUUGUUAUGAUGUGCUUUGACUGACUCAACGUCUUCAUCUAUAUAUAUCUGAACAGGUCCCGGUUCUUGGAAGCAUAGAACAUCUAUUUGUCGUGUGCAGUACUAGUUUUGGUGUCAAGCUUCUAUAAAUAAAGGAGGUAAUCCAAAUGGCUUCAAAUGAGAAGUUUUGUGGGAGCUUAUUGAGGCUUUAUAGGUUCUUUAUAGUUAAGCUUAACUCAUGAAGCAUGAUCAGAUGGAGCUACAUGUGUGGAUGCUCUAAUUUUCUCCCAAUGAUUCAGUGUAAUGCGUAUUUCAGAUGCAGAAACUAUUUUAUGUUCUGAUGGCCAUGCUACUAUUACUUGUUACAGUUUCCCUGAUUUCAGAAAUAUCUAAUGUCCUUUGUGUACUUUGUAGUAUCUAUAUAAUAAUUAGAGAUACAUGAUAACUCAGUUCAGUUUAUCUUGUUUGGUUGGGUUACAUAUUUAUAGAUAUAACUAUUGGGACAUUGCGCACCAUAAUUGCAAACCUAUCUAGUACUAAUGUUGUGUACGCUCAAGACAUUCCAUUUCAUAUGCUCAUGGGUGGACCUGCUGCUUGUACAAAUGCUCUGUACUUAUUUCCUAUUCUUGCAACCAACUAGCAUCGUGUCUCUGACUCCAAAUCAUAUAUUUGCUAGCUGCCUGUAGAUUCUGCUGAGAUCGGUGUUAGUCUUUUCGGGCUUGAUUCAUUCAAGCAAACUAUCUAUAGAUAACUAUUUCAUUUAUUUAUUUGUAAGUUUUUUUUGCGGAAGGACAGUAUUCCUGAGCCAGCUAGUAGAGUUGGGAUUAUUAAGUUCAGGUUUUGUAUCCUUGUGUACUGUAUAUAUCUUCUCAAUUUCUCAUCAACUAAUUUAUACUAUGUAUUGGUGAGGUCGGAUUUCAUUUUCUAAAAAAGAAUGCAAUAUUAAGAAUAAAGUUUUAACAAGGAAAAUGGAAAGUAGGAUCGUGCAGCUUCCCCAAUUUCAUUUAUCAUAUAAUUGAUAAAAAAGGUCCAACACUAUGAGGGUUAAUUGCCUAGUGUGGCUACUGCCUUCCCUAACUCUUAACGGUGUGUGUCUGUGCGUGCUGAUAAGGUGGUAGCAAUUGCUAUCGAGGGCUCUGGUUCAGCAGUCUAUGUCUUGUGUGUGCGUGCUUCCUCUCUGAAAUUUAAGACUGAAUUUUCAGGGUACCAAAUAGAGACAAACAACAGGGUAUUAAGUAGAGACAGUGGUAACAAAUAGAGACAAACAACAGGGUACUAAGUAGAGACAACCCGCUGCACUGUGGUAUGUGGCCUUCUAUCAAGAUCUAUUUUGGGUUUAGAUUUUCCCCUAGGUCUCGGAGACAUGAUUUGUGUUACUGUAUUAACAUGUCGACAUGUUCUGUUCAGAGUUCUCUCCCUAGACAUUUAUUUUUCUAUCCUUGCUGUGUCGUGCAGCCUGGUGAAUAUGUAUUCCAGAAAUAAGUUUAAUCUGAACCUAAGAAGAAAAUUACAACAGUAUGGCAGUUCUACAGCUAGAAUACAGAGGUUUAAACCUGCUAUUAAUUUGUGUACUAAGCAUAUGUAUUAAUGAGUCAAUUUAGAGUAGUAGUACUACUAUUAGUUGUGCACCUAGAAGUACUAGUACCAAGGCCACGUGUUAACAAACUGUCUCUCAGUCAGGCACAAACUCAGCUAGCACUUGCCAACAAAGUGACACAAUACAUUUUUUCUUCAACUCCUUUGCUCCAUGCCUAUGUCACCCUCCUCAAUAGUGCUACUGUCAAGUGAUCCUAAAUCUUUUUCGUGAUGUUGUUCCUCUUUUUUUGAUCACUUAACACUUGAAUUGUCCGAUUAUGAUCUCUUGUUUUUGGGAUGCAGGUCUGGUAGUGCUGUAACAGCCGUGCUGUUGCAUGGCACACAAUAGAGCCUGAGAGGCAGCAACGGUGGUAGUGAUGGAGCUGCUCCGCGAUCAACCAGGGGUUAGUUCUCUACUGCCAUUCCUAUGAUUUCUCCGCUAUUUCCAUUCCCUAGCUGAACUGCUAUUGAAAUGCACCUAUUUGGUUGAUCCAGUUCAGAGUUACACAUAUUUCAUGAGGAUGCUAUUUUCAACUAAUUUGCUUGUGCCACAUGGAUCUUGGUGGUUAAAUUUAUGUUCUUAUGCACUCGAAUCAAAGUAUUUACUAUUGUUAGUGACUUGAUAAGUAUUUAAUUUCAUGUUUAAACUUGUUGAGACAUGAACAUUAGAAGCUUACGCCAUCCAGGUCGACGAGCAGUGGCUUCACGUCAUGGGUAUUGUUUAUUAAUGAUGCCAGUUUUUGGCGGAUUUAUAUAUGGCCUCUACUGCUGCUGCUAUAGUACUUGAGUUCUGCGAUGUAUGUUUUAUUUCGUUGUCAAUUAUAGGUCAACUUGAUUAGACUUUCAUUUGACACAUUUCUAUUUGGAUCAAUUUGUAGCACCCUUAUGUUUAUAGUUGUUUUAUAGUAGAUACUUUUUAUUCUCAUUUCUAUGCUAAGAUUUGAGGAUUUUGGAAAGCAUGUAAUUUAUUUAUUUUAGUUUCUUCCAAUUCUCAUGUUUCUACUAUUAAUUCAUGUCUACAAAAUGUCUAAUGUUGUUGUAAAUAUGAUAGGUAUGAUUGGGCAGCGGUCUACUUGGUGCUAUCCAUCACAAUCUGCCAUGGCAUGUAGCCUCCAGUAGGAGGGUCAACGACAACAUGAAUAACAACCUUAGUAGUUUAUAUGGGUUGUUGAUGUAAAUUGCAUUGUACUUGUUCCUAAUCUUGCUGUGACAUAUACAUUGUCAAUAUAUGUUGUAUAUUGUCUUAUUAUGGAGGAUUUUACAAACUGCUAUGUUGCAUAUAUACCUAUGGAUGGCUGCAUAUUGAAUGAUUUGUGUGACGUAUAACAUGUCUUGGGCCAAAAUUGGAAUUAUGAUUUGUGC